GGGCGGGAUAUGUGUUUCAUAGUUUACUCUGCAAAGGUGAAUUUGGUUUUGUUUGCCCUCGCCCU
rnacentral:tRNA from 1 species